rnacentral:lncRNA from 1 species
UCAGUCUCCACUUCUCUGCCAAUGUGACUCAAGGAGAUGCUCUGAGCCCCACUGUGGGUCCUGCCUGUGACAUGCAACAUGCAACUCA